rnacentral:rRNA from 1 species
ACGCUCGACACCUACGGGAGCAGCAGUGGGGAAUAUUGCACAAUGGGGGGAACCCUGAUGCAGCGACGCCGCGUGAGUGAAGAAGUACUUCGGUAUGUAAAGCUCUAUCAGCAGGGAAGAAAAUGACGGUACCUGACUAAGAAGCCCCGGCUAACUACGUGCCAUCAGCCGCGGUAAUCUGAGCGGGCUGGCAAGGC